rnacentral:lncRNA from 1 species
UUGCCUGAUGCAGAAGCUCGUCUGAAGAUUAUCCGCAAGAGAAGUCCGAUUUCAUGAAGAAUCUGGCGGAGGGUCGGUCGGUGGUGGACUUCGGAUGGCGUUGGGGAGGUUCGUCUGCUGGAGGAGUCUGGAGAUCCUGUGGAAGUCUGGAUGGCGUUAUUGAAGUCCGACUACUGGGGCCAGUCUGUUGUAGAAGCUCAUCCGAAAUCC